CCAAUGACGCCUAGCUGGUCGAGAGGAGAUCAGCACACUGGACUGAGACACGGUCCAGACUCCUACGGAGGCAGCAGUGGGGAAUAUUGCACAUGGGGAACCCUGAUGCAGCAACGCGCGUGAGAUGACACAUUCGGUGCGUAACUCCUUUAUAUGGGAAGAUAAUGACGGUACCAUAUGAAUAAGCACCGGCUAACUCCGUGCCAGCAGCCGCGGUAAUACGGAGGGUGCAAGCGUUACUCGGAAUCACUGGGCGUAAAGCGCGCGCAGGCGGUCUUUUAAGUUGGAUGUGAAAGCCUACGGCUCAACCGUAGAACUGCAUCCAAAACUAUUAGACUAGAGUGUGGGAGAGGAAGAUGGAAUUAGUUGUGUAGGGGUAAAAUCCGUAGAGAUAACUAGGAAUACCAAAAGCGAAGGCAAUCUUCUGGAACACUACUGACGCUGAGGCGCGAAAGCGUGGGGAGCAAACAGGAUUAGAUACCCUGGUAGUCCACGCAGUAAACGAUGAAUGUUAGUCGUCGGGGGCCUCGUGUCUCGGUGAUGCAGCUAACGCAUUAAACAUUCCGCCUGGGGAGUACGGUCGCAAGAUUAAAACUCAAAGGAAUAGACGGGGACCCGCACAAGUGGUGGAGCAUGUGGUUUAAUUCGAAGAUACGCGAAGAACCUUACCUAGCCUUGACAUUAUUAGAAUCUUUCAGAGAUGAGAGAGUGCCUUCGGGAGCUUUUAUACAGGUGCUGCACGGCUGUCGUCAGCUCGUGUCGUGAGAUGUUGGGUUAAGUCCCGCAACGAGCGCAACCCUCGUCACUAGUUACUAACGGUUCGGCCGAGGACUCUAGUGAGACUGCCUUCGYAAGGAGGAGGAAGGUGAGGACGACGUCAAGUCAUCAUGGCCCUUACGGCUAGGGCAACACACGUGCUACAAUGGCCAGGACAGUGAGAAGCGAUACCGCGAGGUGGAGCAAAUCUAUAAACCUGGUCUCAGUUCGGAUUGUAGUCUGCAACUCGACUACAUGAAGCUGGAAUCACUAGUAAUCGUAGAUCAGCUAUGCUACGGUGAAUACGUUCCCGGGUCUUGUACUCACCGCCCGUCACACCAUGGGAGUUGAUUUCACCCGAAGCGGGGAAGCUAAACUGGCUACCCUCCACGUAUA
rnacentral:rRNA from 1 species